CCGAGAAUGGGCUCCGGCUCGAUCUCCACCCACUGUGUAUCGAUUUGAACCAGACCGGAGACGGUAGGGUCAAUCAACUCUCGUCCUACGGGACAUGAAAAAAUUA
rnacentral:misc_RNA from 1 species